GAGUAGCUGGGAUUAUAGGCAUGUGCCGCCAUGCCUGCCUAGUUUUUUAUUUUUAGUAGAGAUGGGGUUUCACCAUGUUGGUCAGGCUGCUCUCAAACUCCUGACCUUGUGAUCUGUGCGCCUCAGCCUCCCAAAGUGCUGGGAUUACUGGUGUGACCGACCGUGCCUGGCCAAUGUGUAUGAUUUAAUAGCCAGCAGCAACAGGCCACUAACAUGCCAUCUGCUAACAGGGGCUCUAGCUAUUAACAUCAACAGAGCUAAAAACUCUUAUGUCUGAUCCCUUGCAAAUGGCGAAGACCUGGCUGAGAAUUAUUAUCUCAUGCUUUCAGAGAAAACUUUGCUUGUCCUGCACUGAAAAAUCUGGCUGCAAUAAUCACAUGGAAGAAGAAAAAGAUUCCAUGAUACUAGUUAUCUAAAUAUCCUCCCUGGUACUGAGAUUUGAAGUUUAUUGUGCUGCCCUAUUCUUGGGCAUUUCGUAAUAUUCAAGAUAUCUGAACCACCAUCUGUUCUGUGGAAGUGUGACUAAUUAGUGGCUAAUGUUUUCAGUAGUAUAGUGCCAAAUAAAAAGUUCUAAUAAUUUAAUUAUAAAGAGUCAACAAUAA
ensembl:lncRNA novel transcript